ACGGGAGGCAGCAGUGAGGAAUAUUGGUCAAUGGGCGAGAGCCUGAACCAGCCAAGUAGCGUGAGGGAUGACUGCCCUAUGGGUUGUAAACCUCUUUUGUUCGGGAAUAAAGUGCGGGACGUGUCCCGCUUUGCAUGUACCGUUCGAAUAAGCAUCGGCUAAUUCCGUGCCAGCAGCCGCGGUAAUACGGAAGAUGCGAGCGUUAUCCGGAUUUAUUGGGUUUAAAGGGAGCGUAGGCGGCCUUUUAAGUCAGUGGUCAAAUGUCAGUGCCCAACACUGGCCUGCCAUUGAUACUGGAGGGCUUGAAUACACACAAGGAAGGUGGAAUUCGUCGUGUAGCGGUGAAAUGCAUAGAUAUGGCGAAGAACUCCGAUUGCGUAGGCAGCUGACCAAGCCGUAAAUGACGCUCAUGCACGAAAGUGCGGGGAUCGAACAGGAUUAGAUACCCUGGUA
rnacentral:rRNA from 1 species